rnacentral:lncRNA from 1 species
UCCUUGGCAAAAUUAAUGGAAUGUUUGCCUUCUCCAUCUCCUUUUAUAGAUGUGGAAAAUGAGGCAGAGUGAAGAGACCCAGCCAGUCACACAGCUACUAAGUGUCUGAGAUCCCAUUUGAACUCAGGGAGAUGAGUUCCUGACUCCAGGGCAGAUACUCUACUGUGCCACUCCUAAGAGCCCAGUGAGAUAACAUGAAUAGCUCUGCAGAUUCCAGAUAUUCUGGAAUUCACUGACAACAUGUCUGGACCUCAGUUUCCUCAAACAUAGAAUAAGGAAUUUGGACUAGAUCAGGUGCUGUGGAGCAUAAUGAAUAGUGUUAAGUAUGGAGUCAGAGAAACUUUGAACGUUAGGAUUGUGCUUACUGAUGUGAAAGGUUUUGGAAAAACUAUGCCAGAUAUCGCAUUAAAACAGGAAACAGAUGGUGCUUAACUGGGUAUGCAGAUAUGGAAACUGGAACAGAAAACAUUUAAGUGACUUUCCCAGCUGAGACAGAAUUGGAACUCAAGUUUUUCUGACGCCAAGGAUAAUAUUACAUCCAAGUCAAUACUGUUUUUGCAAGGAAAAAAAAAUAAACAACAAACUCAUACAGGAGAUAAAAUGAAG